rnacentral:rRNA from 1 species
GAUGAACGCUAGCGGCAGGCCUAAUACAUGCAAGUCGAACGGGUGGUCGCAAGACCACUAGUGGCGCACGGGUGCGUAACGCGUAACCAACCUGCCCCGAUCUGGGGGAUAGCCCGCCGAAAGGCGGAUUAAUACCGCAUAUACCCGCAGCCUGGCAUCAGGCAACGGGGAAAGAUUUAUUGGAUCGGGAUGGGGUUGCGUGACAUUAGCUAGUUGGCGGGGUAAGGGCCCACCAAGGCGACGAUGUCUAGGGGACCUGAGAGGGUGAUCCCCCACACUGGAACUGAGAUACGGGCCAGACUCCUACGGGAGGCAGCAGUAGGGAAUAUUGGGCAAUGGGCGAGAGCCUGACCCAGCCAUGCCGCGUGCCGGAUGAAGGCCUUCUGGGUUGUAAACGGCUUUUCUCAGGGAAGAAAAAGACCUUGCGAGGUACACUGACGGUACCUGAGGAAUAAGCACCGGCUAACUCCGUG